rnacentral:rRNA from 1 species
GUGCAGCAGUCGCGAAACCUCCGCAAUGCGGGAAACCGCGACGGGGGACCCCGAGUGCCGUGGCAACGCCACGGCUUUUCCGGAGUGUAAAAAGCUCCGGGAAUAAGGGCUGGGCAAGGCCGGUGGCAGCCGCCGCGGUAAUACCGGCGGCCCGAGUGGUGGCCGCUAUUAUUGGGCCUAAAGCGUCCGUAGCCGGGCCCGUAAGUCCCUGGCGAAAUCCCACGGCUCAACCGUGGGGCUUGCUGGGGAUACUGCGGGUCUUGGGACCGGGAGAGGCGGGGGGUACCCCUGGGGUAGGGGUGAAAUCCUAUAAUCCCAGGGGGACCGCCAGUGGCGAAGGCGCCCCGCUGGAACGGGUCCGACGGUGAGGGACGAAGGCCAGGGGAGCAAACCGGAUUAGAUACCCGCGUAGU